GACGGAGGAUGCAAGUGUUAUCCGGAAUCACUGGGCGUAAAGCGUCUGUAGGUGGUUCGAAAAGUCCACUGUUAAAAAUUGAGGCUUAACUUCAAAGAUGCCGUGGAAACUUUCAAACUAGAGUAUGGUAGGGGUAGAGGGAAUUCCAGUGGAGCGGUGAAAUGCGUAGAUAUUGGAAAGACCACCGAUGGCGAAGGCACUCUACUGGGCCAUUACUGACACUGAGAGACGAAAGCUAGGGGAGCAAACAGG
rnacentral:rRNA from 1 species